GAUGAACGCUGGCGGCGUGCUUAAUACAUGCAAGUCGAGCGGACGGACGAUAAUCUCGGUGCUCUGAUGUGAGGAGCGGACGGGUGAGUAACACGUGGAUAACCCACCUAUAAGGCUGGGACAACUGCGGGAAACCGUAGCUAAUACCGGGUGAUAUUUUGAACCGCAUGGUUGAAAAGUGAAAGAGGGGCAUGAUGACACUUCUACAUGUAACCGCGCUGCAUUAGCUAGUUGGUAAGGUAACGGCUUACCAAGGCAACGAUGCAUAGCCGACCUGAGAGGGUGAUCGGCCCCACUGGAACUGAGACACGGUCCAGACUCCUACGGGAGGCAGCAGUAGGGAAUCUUCCGCAAUGGGCGAAAGCCUGACGGAGCAACGCCGCGUGAGUGAUGAAGGUCUUCGGAUCGUAAAACUCUGUUAUUAGGGAAGAACAUAUGUGUAAGUAACUGUGCACAUCUUGACGGUACCUAAUCAGAAAGCCACGGCUAACUACGUG
rnacentral:rRNA from 1 species